GACGAACGCUGGCGGCGUGCUUAACACAUGCAAGUCGAACGGAAAGGCCCUGCUUUUGUGGGGUGCUCGAGUGGCGAACGGGUGAGUAACACGUGAGUAACCUGCCCUUGACUUUGGGAUAACUUCAGGAAACUGGGGCUAAUACCGGAUAGGAGCUCCUGCUGCAUGGUGGGGGUUGGAAAGUUUCGGCGGUUGGGGAUGGACUCGCGGCUUAUCAGCUUGUUGGUGGGGUAGUGGCUUACCAAGGCUUUGACGGGUAGCCGGCCUGAGAGGGUGACCGGCCACAUUGGGACUGAGAUACGGCCCAGACUCCUACGGGAGGAAGCAGUGGGGAAUAUUGCACAAUGGGCGGAAGCCUGAUGAAGCAACGCCGCGUGCGGGAUGACGGCCUUCGGGUUGUAAACCGCUUUCGCCUGUGACGAAGCGUGAGUGACGGUAAUGGGUAAAGAAGCACCGGCUAACUACGUG
rnacentral:rRNA from 1 species